GGAGAGUCUCCAUCCAGCUGGAUCACUGUCACAGGGGUACACACCACCACACCUCCACCUACAUCCACACCUUCACCUACAUCCACACCUCCUCCUGGUUCUACCUGUGUCUCUCCAUCACUCUUCUCUCUUGUUCUCACUGUGUCAUUUCUUAAAUCAGUCUGUGUUGUGGUUCUACUGGUGUUACUGGUUCUGCUGGUGAGACGGCAAGUUCAAAGGAAAUCUGAAAGGGAGGAGUUGGAGAUGAUGACAUCACAUACAGUGACAGAAAAAGUUGAAGUCAACAACAGUCAAUGAGAAGAAGCAGAGAUAAUUUUUAAUGUGAUGUGUGCUGAGGGUUCAUGUUGAUAUUCAGAGGAAAUACAAAACAGAACUCACCGAGCUUAAACUAAUGUAUUAAAGACAAUUAAAAUUCCUU